AAGGUUAAAACUCAAAUGAAUUGACGGGGGCCCGCACAAGCGGUGGAGCAUGUGGUUUAAUUCGAUGCAACGCGAAGAACCUUACCUGGUCUUGACAUCCACAGAACUUUCCAGAGAUGGAUUGGUGCCUUCGGGAACUGUGAGACAGGUGCUGCAUGGCGUCGUCAGCUCGUGUUGUGAAAUGUUGGGUUAAGUCCCGCAACGAGCGCAACCCUUAUCCUUUGUUGCCAGCGGUUAGGCCGGGAACUCAAAGGAGACUGCCAGUGAUAAACUGGAGGAAGGUGGGGAUGACGUCAAGUCAUCAUGGCCCUUACGACCAGGGCUACACACGUGCUACAAUGGCAUAUACAAAGAGAAGCGACCUCGCGAGAGCAAGCGGACCUCAUAAA
rnacentral:rRNA from 1 species